rnacentral:rRNA from 1 species
CUAACUCCGUGUCCAGCUAGCCGCGGUAAUACGGAGGGUGCGAGCGUUAAUCGGAAUUACUGGGCGUAAAAGCGCAUGCAGGUGGUUUGUUAAGUCAGAUGUGAAAGCCCGGGGCUCAACCUCGGAAUUGCAUUUGAAACUGGCAAACUAGAGUACUGUAGAGGGGGUAGAAUUUCAGGUGUAGCGGUGAAAUGCGUAGAGAUCUGAAGGAAUACCGGUGGCGAAGGCGGCCCCCUGGACAGAUACUGACACUCAGAUGCGAAAGCGUGGGGAGCAAACAGGAUUAGAUACCCUGGUAG